rnacentral:rRNA from 1 species
CGCCCGGUCCCAUUCCGAACCCGGAAGCUAAGCCCUGGCACGGCGAUGGUACUAUGCUUGAGAGGGCAUGGGAGAGUAGCACACCGCCGCAACA